rnacentral:rRNA from 1 species
UACAGAGGUCCCAAGCGUUGUUCGGAUUCACUGGGCGUAAAGGGUGCGUAGGUGGUGAGGUAAGUCGGAUGUGAAAGCCCGGGGCUCAACUCCGGAAUUGCCUUUAAGACUGCAUCGCUAGAAUUGUGGAGAGGUAAGUGGAAUUCCGAGUGUAGAGGUGAAAUUCGUAGAUAUUCGGAAGAACACCAGUGGCGAAGGCGACUUACUGGACACAUAUUGACGCUGAGGUGCGAAAGCGUGGGGAGCAAACAGG